CCUACGGGUGGCUGCAGUAGGGAAUAUUGCACAAUGGGGGAAACCCUGAAGCAGCAACGCCGCGUGGAGGAUGAAGGUUUUCGGAUUGUAAACUCCUGUUGUUAGAGAAGAAAGUGACGGUAUCUAACCAAUAAGCACCGGCUAACUCCGUGCCAGCAGCCGCGGUAAUACGUAGGGUGCAAGCGUUACUCGGAAUCACUGGGCGUAAAGAGCGCGUAGACGGGACAGCAAGUCAGAUGUGAAAGCCUAGGGCUUAACCACAGAACUGCAUUUGAAACUGUUAUUCUAGAGUGUGGGAGGGGUAGGUGGAAUUCUUGGUGUAGGGGUAAAAUCCGUGGAGAUCAGGAGGAAUACUCAUUGCGAAGGCGACCUGCUAGAACAUAACUGACGCUGAUGCGCGAAGGCGUGGGGAGCAAACAGGAUUAGAUACCCUGGUAGUC
rnacentral:rRNA from 1 species